rnacentral:lncRNA from 1 species
GUUGCUGAUGCUCAAAUCUAUGGUUCCAGAUUUCUUUUCUAGGGUUUCUAUCUCCAGUGUUGCCUCACUUUGAGUUUUCUUUAUUGUUUCUACUUCCCUUUUUAGGUUUAGUAUGGUUUUGUUCAUUUCCAUCACCUGUUUGUAUGUUUUUUCCUCUUUUUCUGUAAGGACUUCUACCUGUUUGAUUGUGUUUUCCUGUUUUUCUUUAAGGACUUGUAACUCUUUAGCAGUGUUCUCCUGUAUUUCUUUAAGUGAUUUAUUAAAGUCCUUCUUGAUGUCCUCUACCAUCAUCAUGAGAUAUGCUUUUAAAUCUAGGUCUAGGUUUUCGGGUGUGUUGGGGUGCCCUGGACUGGGCGAAGUGGGAGUGCUGGGUUCUGAUGAUGGUGAGUGGUCUUGGUUCCUGUUAGUAGGAUUCCUACGUUUACCUUUCGCCAUCUGGUAAUCUCUGGAGUUAGUAGUUAUAGUUGACUCUGUUUAGAGAUUGUUCUUCUGGUGAUUCUGUUACCGUCUCUCAGCAGACCUGGGAGACAGAUUCUCUCCUCUGAGUUUCAGUGCUCAGAGCACUCUCUGCUGGCAAGCUCUCUUACAGGGAAGGUGCGCAGAUAUCUUGUUUUUGGACCUCUUCCUGGUCGAAGAAGAAGGCCCAAAACAGGGCCUCUCUCAGAAGCUGUGUUGCUUUGGCAGUUCCCAGAAGCUGUCAGCUUCUGUGGUGCAGACUCUCACCUGUGCAGACUAAAAUCCUAAGUUCCAGGGAGUCCUGGAAACAAGAUGGUGACCGCUGCUCCUGAGGCUGAGGCCGUCUCCCAAGCCAGGCUGACACCUGUCCUCUGGUCCGGAUGGUGGCCGGUUGUCUGCGGCCCGCCCAGGCUGCUGCCUCAGCGGCUCUGUGCUUCUGCCAGUCCCAGAAGCUGUCCGGUUCUCUGGCGCACCCGCUAACCUGUUCAGACUAAUCUCCUAAGUUCUGCUGAGUCCCUGUUUGUCUUUUCAUAGAUUUCUUUAAUGGAUUAAUUCAUUUCUUCAUUAUGGACCCCUAACAUAUUCAUAAAGAUUAUUUUGAAAUCCUUGUCUCGUACUUCCGCUAUCUUUGCCUUUCUCAGUUCCUGCUGUGAUAGGGUUGCAGGGCUUUAAUGGAGACAUGUUGUCCUGGCUUCUUUGAUUGUAUUUUUACACUGGUGGCUAGGCAUCUGAGUUUGUGGUGAUUGUAAUUCUAGAUGCUAAAAUCUGGUCUUGUCUUUGUUGGGUGGUUGUUUUGUUCCCUUAGUUUCUGUUGCCUUUUGGGGUGCUUAGGAGCAUGUGGUGCCAGUGGGUCAUCUGGUGGGAAAUGCUUCUUAGAUCCUGCUAGGUAUGGCUUCUGGAUGCUCUGGGUUGAGUGAUUGUCUUGGUAUUGGGAGCUGACACUUAGGGAUGGAGACAAGGUAGAAGGAGUCUACAGGAUGGAAGACAGGAGGGUGUACCACCAGGAUCUGCUUAGUUCCCUGAGAAUGAGAACAGAGAAGGAGUGGGAGCCACAGCAGGUGGUUUGCUCCAGAGUAGCAAUGAGGGUCAGCGUAUUUACUAAGGCAGAUCCAAGACUACAUCUAAAGUCAUAAUGCUGGAUUUGUGACGUCACUCUCAAUUGUUUCCAGAUGGUUUCUCAGGCUGAUCAAAAAGAAGAUGAGGCCAGUGAAUGUGAGUGGGAAAGUAGAUCUUCAAACAGAAAGAGGGCUCAGGAAUAAAAAGUAUAAUAAUAAUAAUAACAUGAAGAUCACAAAACAACCGUAGGUAAAGUAAAUUGCCUUUUCCCUCUGUCUCAAAACAGGGUCUUUGAUCAAUUGUUCCAGUGUAUAAAAAUUUGAACUCUAAAGAAGCCAGGCAGGCUUCUAAAACCCACACAUCAAAAGCUUUGCUUCCGUUAGAGAAAUUUAAAGCCAUGAUACUCUGAAUGGGUUUGAAAUUCUCUAAAAUGAGUUCUAAUAACACCCUUCGCAGACAGAAAGGGAGAACAGCCAGUUACAUGGCUUCAUGCUACCAUUUUCUCUGGUACAUUAGUUUUCCAAAGAUGCCAUUUUGGCUUGUACCAAAUAAGAGGGCAAAGGUUACCAAAUGGAAGCCCGGGGAAGCCAGAAACCAGAACAGCCCUCACAAUGGAAAGGGAAUCCAAACUGUCAGCUCUGAAUAGAGAGAAAUUGUAUGUGUGAAAUUGACAACCAGCAGCGGUCUGGCACCAUCAGAGAGGCCAGGAAAUUAACUCAACCGGGUUCCUACUUACUGGAUUAGAGCUGGGGUUCUGUCGAGAUGUACUCAAGAUUCACACCUAGACAUCUCUAGCCCCUGGAUCACACUGGCAAUGUCAGGUUUUAGUUGGAAGGCAUUCUAAACAAAUAAAGUAUCAGUGAACAAUUUUUAAUGAUACAGAAAAAACAAGAAGAAAUACAAACUACCUCUUAAGAACUGUUAACAAUGGAUGCAUCUGUCUUUUCAUGCACAUUGCUUUACCAGCUGGAAGCCAAUUUGUGUAUAUAAUUGUUUUUUGUGUUUUUGUGUUUUAGCUUACUUAGUACUAUAUAAGUUUUUUGGUUGAGGGAGACAAAAAUCACAGUCAACAAUCAGGGUGCAAGUAGAUGAAGUUAGUCAGAGCUUGAUGGCUGGCUCCUUCUCUACAGAAAUAGCAGAGAGAAAGGGACAAUACAAAAAAAAUGGUGGACACUGCAUCUGGGACAGACUGUGGCAUACAUUCAUCAUGACAUACAUUGUUUUAUCACAACAGAAAAGAAACAAAAUGAACACAGACCCCAGGAAUGGACUUGCUGAGAAAGGAAUCACAAAGCAAUUCAUUCUCAAUAGGCUCAAAGAGAAGAAGUGUGUGUGUGCGUGUGUGUGUGUGUGUGUGUGUGUGUGUGUGUGUGUGUGUGUGUGUGUUUUAAAACUAGCCCAAGGGGGUGGGGGAAAUUUCUACUAUGAAGAUUGCAAAACACAGAAGAAAUUAAAAAAGACAUUAGAAGACAUACUUUUCAUACUUGUAGAGAAUUAAUAUUGUUACAAGAGCAUACUAGCAAAAGUAAUGUACAGAUUCAGAGCGAUUCCCAUAGAAGUUCUAAUAACAUUCUUCACAGAAAUGGGGAAACAAAUCCUAAAUUCAUAUGAAACCCCAAAAGGCCCCGAGUAGCCAAGGCCAUCCCAAGUCAAAAGAAAAUGUCAGAUAUCCACAGUACCUAUUUUAC